rnacentral:sRNA from 1 species
GGGAAUACAAGAUUACACUCCCAACCCCUGUGACAUACCUAUACGUUGCCUCGGCGGAUCAGCCCGCGCCCCGUAAAAAGGGACGGCCCGCCCGAGGACCCCUAAACUCUGUUUUUAGUGGAACUUCUGAGUAAAACAAACAAAUAAAUCAAAACUUUCAACAACGGAUCUCUUGGUUCUGGCAUCGAUGAAGAACGCAGCAAAAUGCGAUAAGUAAUGUGAAUUGCAGAAUUCAGUGAAUCAUCGAAUCUUUGAACGCACAUUGCGCCCGCCAGUAUUCUGGCGGGCAUGCCUGUCCGAGCGUCAUUUCAACCCUCAAGCUCAGCUUGGUGUUGGGACUCGCGGUAACCCGCGUUCCCCAAAUCGAUUGGCGGUCACGUCGAGCUUCCAUAGCGUAGUAAUCAUACACCUCGUUACUGGUAAUCGUCGCGGCCACGCCGUAAAACCCCAACUUCUGAAUGUUGACCUCGGAUCAGGUAGGAAUACCCGCUGAACUUAAGCAUAUCAUAACACGCGAAGGAAG